ACCAUGGUGGUUCAGUGGUAGAACUCUUGCCUUUCAUGUGGAAGACCCAGGUUCAAUUCCUGGCCAAUGCA
rnacentral:tRNA from 1 species